UUCCACGAGUCUAAAAACAAAAGCAUCCGUUGUUUCCAUUCGUUAAACACAAACAACCAAAAGAAAACCCUUCCUUGCCGAUCUUCUCUGCAACAGAGUGCAAACUUGCCCACUCAGAUUUCUGCCACCAAGUCAGUUUAGAGUCACAAGAGAACGAUUGUUGCAUCGUUUGAAGAUUCUUUUAAUAACCAUUUGGAAUAAGCCGAUACAGAAGGAGAGAGGAUGAUAGAGAGACGUUGCGAUACAUAGGCUACAGUUCACCGAUCAUAGUGAUUGAGGCAUUGCAUUAGAAUGAGUACCAACAAUUUUGAAAGUUAGCGUAGAGAGGCGAUGGAAUAUUUUUGGUUGUUCGCUCUCUAUUCCGCUUCUUCUUUGCAACACCAUAUACCUAAGUUUAAGCAUAACAUUGUUAAUUAUCCUCUUCAAAUACUUUGUCUUCUCCAAAUACAGUUUCUGUUGUCUGUAAUUUACCACAAUUACUUUUCCUUGGCACCUGAAUUUUUCAAUAUUUAUACUCCUAAUCAUUAAAACCCGCUGAUCCCCACUUUAUUAAUAAAAAAUAAAAAUAAAAAUAAAAAACUUAGAAAGAGAGCCCAUAACCAUUAAUAAACUUUAAACAUAGAACAAAAUGAGAUAAAUGAAGAGAGAGGGCGAUAGAAAUCUGAAGGUCAGCCCCUCUGUCAAGCCAACUUCCUGCCAAUGUGUACCCUUCCACCACUGACUCGCCAGGACUACUAACAGAACGGAAUUGAAGUCGGUGUUGUGACUAGCAAAAGAAACAGGAUACGCUCUACACGCCUUAGCGGCAGUGCAUCCCAAGUGGCAACUACAUCAGGUCUCUCUGACUCACAGAUUCCACCCUCAUCAAAGCCCUGCUGAUUGCAAUGCUGAAUAGAGAAUGUUUUUGGCUGAAGUGCUGUAUGUCUUCUUUCCUUGGUUUGGAUGAAAUCAGAUUAUUUUUACAGUAAGUGUAAGAUAACCUGGCUGUUUUUAUUUUUAUUUUUUUUAAUU